ensembl:lncRNA
UUAUGUAUUGCACUCCUCACAACUUCUAACAUAUGGUAACACAACUUCUUACCUGGUACAUGCAGGCCUCCAAGGUCGCAAGUUGGGCGGAACAUGCCCAAUUAGCCCGCACCCCGGCAAUCCACUGGACACCCCCCACCCCCGCUCCUCUGUACAGCCACCUGGUUCCACACUACAAAGAUGCAGAGGACACAGGACCACCAGACCACUGUACUGGGUGGACUAAGAAGGACCAGACUUACCCUCUAGCUUGAAAUAACAGCAACAACAACAACAAAAAGCUACUGGCCAACAUGAAAUGAUAUUUCAAGACAUGGGAUACAGAACAACAAAGAACAGUGUUCCUCACAAGGUGGGCAAAACAAGUUGUUAUUUUCCAGGUGUCUCAAUCCAAGGUCUUAGAGAGGCUGUGAUUUGCUUCAAGAGUCUACUAUACCAUCUUCAAGAUUAUUUCUCCAGAAUACUUGCACAAUUUAAAAAACUCCAAGACAGGCAGGUCUGCAGAGGUCAUGGCAACAUCUCAAGUCGGGAGGAACACGCCAAAUCAACCCGCUGCAGACAGGCAGGUCUGCGGACACCAUAGCAAUGUUGUGAGUCACUGGGAACACGCCCAAUCAGCCCG